rnacentral:rRNA from 1 species
GUGCCAGCAGCCGCGGUAAUACAGAGGUGGCGAGCGUUGUUCGGAAUCACUGGGCAUAAAGGGCGCGUAGGUGGCCAGACAGGUCAGGGGUGAAAUCCCCCGGCUCAACCGGGGAAUGGCCUCUGAAACCAUCUGGCUCGAGCAGAAGAGGGGAGAGUGGAACUCGCGGUGGAGCGGUGAAAUGCGUAGAUAUCGCGAGGAACGCCGGCGGCGAAAGCGACUCUCUGGUUUCUUGCUGACACUGAGGCGCGAAAGCUAGGGGAGCAAACGGGAUUAGAUACCCCGGUAGUCCUAGCCGUAAACGAUGGGCACUAGGUAGAAGAGGUACCCAAUCCUUUUCUGCCGGAGGUAACCUGCUAAGUGCCCCGCCUGGGGAGUACGGCCGCAAGGUUGAAACUCAAAGGAAUUGACGGGGGCUCGCACAAGCGGUGGAGUAUGUGGAUCAAUUCGAAGCAACGCGAAGAACCUUACCUGGGUUUGACAUGGUGGAUGUAGAAUCCUGAAAGGGAAACGACCGGUAUCCAAUCCGGAGCCAUCACAGGUGUUGCAUGGCUGUCGUCAGCCCGUGUCGUGAGAUGUCGGGUUAAGUCCCAUAACGAGCGAAACCCUUGUCCUUAGUUGCCAGCGGGUAAAGCCGGGGACUCUAAGGAGACUGCCGGUGUUAAACCGGAGGAAGGCGGGGAUGACGUCAAGUCAUCAUGGCCCUUAUGCCCAGGGCGUCACACGUACUACAAUGGCCGGUACAAAGGGACGCAAUACCGCAAGGUGGAGCAAAUCCCAAAAAAGCGGCCUCAGUUCGGAUCGAGGGCUGAAAUUCGCCCUCGUGAAGCCGGAAUCGCUAGUAAUCGCGAAUCAGAAUGUCGCGGUGAAUACGUUCCCGGGCCUUGUACACACCGCCCGU